GCUGGACGCAGUGGCAAGCUCCUGUAGUCCCAGCUACUCAGGAGGCUGAGACAGGAGGAUUGCUUGAGUCCAGGAGUUGUGGGCUAUAGUGCACUAUGCUGAUUGGGCUUCCACACCCAAGUUCGACAUCAAUAUGGUGAGCUCCCGGGAGUACGGGGCUGCCAGGUUGCCUAAGGAGGGGUGAACUUGCCCCAGGUCAGAAAUGGAGCAGGUCAAAACUCCCAUGGUGAUCAGUAGUGGGAUCUCACCUAUGGAUAACCGCUGCACUUCUGCCCAGGCAACAUAGCAAGACCCCAUUUCUA
rfam:Otolemur garnettii contig097130, whole genome shotgun sequence.